GCAGCACAUGCGUGGGGAGUCAGUUCGUUUUUGCAAUUAAGGAUAAGUGGGAAAAAGACCUUCUAGCUUAAUAAGGAAUCUUGGAUAACAGAUGAAGACUGUGCUAACUGGACAUGACAACAUCAUAUAAAAAGCAAGACAUUCGGUCAGCUAGAGAAUCAACCUCUUGUCUAUGCAUGCUGGAGGCGGGGAAGGGCAAAUCACCCGAAGAUCCAGGUGGCCGGAAGACCCUGGGCAGAGCUCUGGCCCCGCCCUAGUGGCCGUCCUCCCACCUGCCCUGCUCCUGCUGGACCCUGUCCCUGAGCUGUUUCUCUUGGUUGUCAACAGCGCACACACAGAGCAGAGGACAGUGCUGCCUGGGGAUGGGCACGGCCCCUAUGCCACCUGCAGGUUCCCUUCCUCUGAGGCUCCCCACCCGUGGGUGGUCUCCCCUCCUCCUGAUUCACUAAGCCUUUGCCUGAUCACCUCCUAACACUGCCAGCAGCUCCCAAGCUGUAGACCCACAAUUCCCCCAAAGUUGGCUGUGGUACUGCUGGACUCCUUAGCCCUAGGAAUCCAUCCCUCACUGUCCAUGGCUGGCCCUUCACUACCCCCACCACGCUCUCCAGAGCUCCACAGUUCUUCCAGCCUGCCAGCCCUCCAACCUCUGCCUUCUGAGCUGCCCCCAACGCCUGGACCCCGGCCGACUAUGGUUUCUUAUUCAAGAAGUUCCUAUUCUUGUCCUAUGCCCAGAUGGCCCUCAAUCAAUGUUUGCCUGGGGAGUGAGCCAGAUGAGCACUAAUGACUCUGAAAUCUGUAUUGUUAUAUCUGACCUCUUUGGCUCUGUGAAAUUGAAGAAUUCAAACUUAAAGCUGUUGGACUUUUAAAUUGUUCUGAGCCUUGAGAGGAAUGUGGCUAUGCAGCCCGAGUCACACGGCUGCAACUUCUACCUUUUUUCCCCUUUAAAUAAUAAAGACCAAGACCAAGUAGCCCUCAAGUCACUGCCCCUCCUCAAGCAGCAGUCUGUAACCAAUCAAUUCCCGCACCCUGUAUGUUUGUCUUGUAUGGAAAAUGUUGUUCCUGCUAAGAUUUCCCUGCCUCUGUUUAGGUAAGUGAAACCUUAACUUCACUUUGGGACACUGACCUCAUUCGUUCGAAGUUGGGGUCUCCCGGGUGGCCAUCUGCAAGCUUUGUGUUCAAAUAAGCUAUAGUUAAUCAUAUUUUCUGAACCUCAUUAUUUGAGGUUGACAGCUUAUGUGCUAGUUGGCAUCGCUGGGAUGUGCCACGAGCAAGCAAGCCAGCCCCAACGCAUCCAAAAGUGAUAUCAUUGUCUUCUUCCUUAAUCGGUAUGAGUCCAGGGUCCCCAUCGCCCAACUGCCCACCCUGCAAAUCUGGAAUUGUAACUGCCUCUCUCCUGACUGAGUAAGAAUUG
rnacentral:lncRNA from 1 species